rnacentral:rRNA from 1 species
UACGUAGGGCGCAAGCGUUGUCCGGAAUUAUUGGGCGUAAAGAGCUCGUAGGCGGCUUGUCACGUCGGAUGUGAAAGCCCGGGGCUCAACCCUGAAACUGCAUUCGAUACUGCCUUGCUCGAGGACUGGAGAGGAGAUUGGAAUUCACGGUGUAGCAGUGAAAUGCGUAGAUAUCGUGAGGAAGACCAGUGGCGAAGGCGGAGUCUCUGGACAGUUCCUGACACUGGAGGCACGAAGGCCAGGGGAGCAAACGGG